rnacentral:rRNA from 1 species
GGGUAGUCCUGGCUGUAAACGAUGCGGACUAGGUGUCACCGAAGCUACGAGCUUCGGUGGUGCCGGAGGGAAGCCGUUAAGUCCGCCGCCUGGGGAGUACGGCCGCAAGGCUGAAACUUAAAGGAAUUGGCGGGGGAGCACUACAACGGGUGGAGCCUGCGGUUUAAUUGGAUUCAACGCCGGGAAGCUUACCGGGGGAGACAGCGGGAUGAAGGUCGGGCUGAAGACCUUACCAGACUAGCUGAGAGGUGGUGCAUGGCCGCCGUCAGUUCGUACUGUGAAGCAUCCUGUUAAGUCAGGCAACGAGCGAGACCCGCGCCCCCAGUUGCCAGCGGUUCCCUUCGGGGAAGCCGGGCACACUGGGGGGACUGCCGGCGCUAAGCCGGAGGAAGGUGCGGGCAACGGCAGGUCCGUAUGCCCCGAAUCCCCCGGGCUACACGCGGGCUACAAUGGCCGGGACAAUGGGUACCGACCCCGGAAAGGGGGUAGGGUAAUCCCCUAAAACCCGGGUCUAACCUGGGGAUCGAGGGGCUGCAACUCGCCCUCGUGAACCUGGAAUCCGUAGUAAUCGCGCCUC